UCCGAGUUGACCCCGGCAGUCUCCCAUGAGUCCCCGCCAUUACGCGCUGGCAACAUGGAACGAGGGUUGCGCUCGUUGCGGGACUUAACCCAACAUCUCACGACACGAGCUGACGACAACCAUGCACCACCUGUGAGAGUGCCCCGAAGGGAAACCGUGUUUCCACGGCUGUCACUCACAUGUCAAGCCCAGGUAAGGUUCUUCGCGUUGCGUCGAAUUAAAGAACAUGCUCCGCUGCUUGUGCGGGCCCCCGUCAAUUCUUUUGAGUUUUAGCCUUGCGGCCGUACUCCCCAGGCGGAACACUUAACGCGUUGGCUACGGCACAGAGGGAUUCGACUCCCCCCACACCUAGUGUUCAUCGUUUACGGCUAGGACUAC
rnacentral:misc_RNA from 1 species